rnacentral:lncRNA from 1 species
GGAUGGUGGAGGUGAGAGAGUAAAAAUGAAGCAAGAGAAGGAGGAAGCUUAGGUAUUAUUGAUACCUAACUUUACAGCCGAGGUGCCGCAGAAUUAGACAUUAAAGCAGCCACGUGGAUUUCAACCCUCACAGACUCCUGGUCACAUCUACUGUCCGGUAUGGCUUCUCGGAUUCAUCCAGGGGAGCAGAAGUCACAUUGGGAUGAGAAGAGAAACCGAGGAGAUGAAGGGAAACCAGAGAGAAAUUGGAGAAGGGGAGGAUUGCUCCAGGGGAACAAGAAGUCGGAGGUUAGUGAGACAAGAUGUGAGGGAGGGAAGGUGGCCUGAGGAACAGGGUCCCCAGAGGUGGUGGCCCUGCGGCGGUGGUGAUGAUGUAACCAUGUGCAGCUCCCUCAGCGCGCUUCUCUCUCAGAUUCUUCUCCCUUCCACCUCGGACACUCUUCUCCUCCGUUCCUCUCGACUGAGACAAUCUGAGGGCUGUGCCCAGAGCCUUAUCAUCAGCAGAAACUGAAGCAUCUAUGAAAUAACGGAAUCAAGCACCCUUCUCUGAUAUGAUCUCUUUUCCUUAUGGUUCGUUGCUAGGUUGGCUCACUGCAGCUGUUGGACAAACUGGCUGGGGGAACAGUGACCCUUCUUUUCUUUAUUCUCCCCUUCUCGGUCUUAGGGUGUAGACUUGCCAUCAGAAUUCUUUCCUGAAUCAAUUCAACUCCCCUCCCUUGUCUAUCCGAACCACCCUGCCUCCCUGGUUAAGCGCCAGCCUUAGAUGGAUCCAGCACUUGCCUGCAUUUGUAUUUGAGCAG